rnacentral:rRNA from 1 species
UGAAAUUUUAGUGACUGAGUGGCGGACGGGUGAGUAACGCGUGGGUAACCUGCCUCACACAGGGGGAUAACAGUUGGAAACGGCUGCUAAUACCGCAUAAGCGCACAGUACCGCAUGGUACGGUGUGAAAAACUCCGGUGGUGUGAGAUGGACCCGCGUCUGAUUAGCUAGUUGGCAGGGCAACGGCCUACCAAGGCGACGAUCAGUAGCCGACCUGAGAGGGUGACCGGCCACAUUGGGACUGAGACACGGCCCAAACUCCUACGGGAGGCAGCAGUGGGGAAUAUUGCACAAUGGGGGAAACCCUGAUGCAGCAACGCCGCGUGAGCGAAGAAGUAUUUCGGUAUGUAAAGCUCUAUCAGCAGGGAAGAAGAAAUGACGGUACCUGACUAAGAAGCACCGGCUAAAUACGUGCCAGCAGCCGCGGUAAUACGUAUGGUGCAAGCGUUAUCCGGAUUUACUGGGUGUAAAGGGAGCGCAGGCGGAAGGCUAAGUCUGAUGUGAAAGCCCGGGGCUCAACCCCGGUACUGCAUUGGAAACUGGUCAUCUAGAGUGUCGGAGGGGUAAGUGGAAUUCCUAGUGUAGCGGUGAAAUGCGUAGAUAUUAGGAGGAACACCAGUGGCGAAGGCGGCUUACUGGACGAUAACUGACGCUGAGGCU